GAUGAACGCUGGCGGCGUGCCUAAUACAUGCAAGUCGAGCGAACAGAUGAGGAGCUUGCACCUCUGACGUUAGCGGCGGACGGGUGAGUAACACGUGGAUAACCUACCUAUAAGACUGGGAUAACUUCGGGAAACCGGAGCUAAUACCGGAUAAUAUAUUGAACCGCAUGGUUCAAUAGUGAAAGACGGUUUUGCUGUCACUUAUAGAUGGAUCCGCGCCGCAUUAGCUAGUUGGUAGGGUAACGGCUUACCAAGGCGACGAUGCGUAGCCGACCUGAGAGGAUGAGCAGGCACAGUGGAACUGAGACACGGUCCAGACUCCUACGGGAGGCAGCAGUGGGGAGUAGUGGACAAUGGGCGAAAGCCUGAUACAGCCAUGCAGAGUGUGUGAAGAAGGUCUUAGGAUUGUAAAGAAGUUUAAGUUGGGAGGAAGGGCAGUCAGUUAAUACCUAGCUGUUUUGACGUUACCAAGAGAAUAAGCACCGGCUAACUUCGUG
rnacentral:rRNA from 1 species